rnacentral:rRNA from 1 species
CCCUUAGAUGUUCUGGGCCGCACGCGCGCUACACUGUUCGACGCAGCGAGUCUUAACCUUGACCGAAAGGUUUGGGUAAUCUUCAGCAAAGUCGAACGUGAUGGGGAUCGAUCAUUGCAAUUAUUGAUCGUGAACGAGGAAUUCCUAGUAAGUGCAAGUCAUCAGCUUGCGCUGAUUACGUCCCUGCCCUUUGUACACACCGCCCGUCGCUACUACCGAUUGAAUGGUUUAGUGAGAUCUCUGGACUGACGCUGGCUAGGGGGCGACCCUUGGCCAGGCUGUCGAGAAACUGCUCAAACUUGAUCAUUUAGAGGAAGUAAAAGUCGUAACA